UUUGUAUUUUAUAAAUAACCUAAGACAGUAGGGGCAUCAAGCUUAAUAAUCCUACCGAGGUGAAAUUUGACUUGAACAUUUCAAGCACUUUUUGCCAUGGGUGAAAAGUGCUUUUUUAAUAUUCUU
rfam:Macrococcus caseolyticus JCSC5402 DNA, complete genome.